rnacentral:rRNA from 1 species
CCUUAUGUCUAGGGCUACACACGUGCUACAAUGGUGAGUACAAAGAGAUGCAAGACCGCAAGGUGGAGCCAAACUCAAAAACUCAUCCCAGUUCGGAUUGUAGGCUGCAACUCGCCUACAUGAAGCCGGAGUUGCUAGUAAUCGCGAAUCAGCAUGUCGCGGUGAAUACGUUCCCGGGCCUUGUACACACCGCCCGUCACACCAUGAGAGUUGGUAACACCCGAAGUCCGUGAGGUAACCGUAAGGAGCYAGCGGCCGAAGGUGGGAUUGAUGAUUGGGGUGAAGUCGUAACAAGGUAGCCGUAGGAGAACCUGCGGCUGGAUCACCUCCUUUCUAGGGAG